rnacentral:tRNA from 1 species
UGGGGAAUCGUCUAACGGUAGGACACCGGACUUUGACUCCGUUUGUCCAGGUUCGAAUCCUGGUUCCCCAGCCA